GGGCCCGUAGGCUAGCGGAAGGCUUCCGGGUUUGGGUCCCGGAGAGCGGGGUUCGAAUCCCCGCGGGCCCA
rnacentral:tRNA from 1 species